rnacentral:lncRNA from 1 species
AUGUGUGUUUCCCCAGAGCUGGCUAAUGCUUCUCGCUUGGAGAAGGAGAUGGAGGUGGUUUGUGCCACUCCUCCCCAACUGAAAGAGGAGCUUGUGUGGAAUGUGACUAAAUGCCCACUGCCCAGCCCUCCAGUGCCAAAUGUGGGAGAACCUCCACAGGGUACACUACCUACCCUCAUUGGUCUACUAGUUCUGCUCUGCAUUCUGGUCUGUGGUUCCUGUCUGGCGUUAGUGCUCUGUAGGCACAAGUGGGACAACAAACAGGUUGAGCCCGAAGCAGAUCCAGAGGUGCUCACGGAAAACAGCUGUCUGGAGCCUGGGGUACCACCCACUGGGGCCCAGGGCAUGGAGGGUCUCAAGGCUUCAGAGGUGCGGGGGAGCAAACUUGUCAGAGCACGAGCCAGUUCUGCAGGUCCGGUGCUCUCAACCACUGAGCUUCCCAGUAAAAACUCGAGAACAAGAAAAGAGAUUGAACCAGGUAUGUCAGGACUGACCAGAACGGAAAUAAAAGAAACACAACAAGGGCUUGAUGCCAAUCUCUCUGAGGGACAGAAGGCUACACAGCAUCUGGAAGUGGGAACAGUGGUGUCUGAAGUAGAAGGAGCCGCAUCGGUUUUCAAAGGCCCUGCAGAACCGCUGUCUCUCCAAUAUCCAAACUUGGGAGUAAUGGAGAAAUCUGCACCUAUGUGGGAAACAAGAACACCUGUAGACCAUAUCACAGAGAAGAAUCUGGCUUCAGAAGGAGCAGAAAAUCUUCCUUAUCUGAGCAUUGGAACUGAACCUGCAAGACAAAGCCCAGAGGCCCCAGAGCAUCACCAUGGCAACAAAGAUGUUUUCAGGAGGGUCAUCAGGAGGAUUUCAACUUGGCCGCCCACUUCGUUUCAAUGGAAAGAGAAAGACACUUGUAAAAGUGAAGCUAAUCACUUAUUCCCUACAACUGUAGCCAACUCUGAACACAACUAUGACAAGAGAAAAGAUGCAGAUUGUUAUAAACAGACAGAUUUCUUUCUUGAGGGUUGUAUGAGUGGCUUUUGGGAAAAUGUGGGAAGGACAACUCCGGAGGGCAAUGCAGAGGAGCCUUCUGGUAGUAGAUUCUGCCCUGUGGUUGCAACAAACAGUGAAAAGAAAACAACAACCUCUAGACGUGAGCUCUUCCAGCCACCCAAACAGACCAAGCCAGUGGCGCCAGACGACAAACGGCUCCAGGCUGGUCAGGGCCCAGGCUUACGUGAAAUGGGCCGAGGAAGAGGUUCUGGCAGCAGGCCCCAAAAACUGAGCAAGGACAAGAGAAAGACCCACUCCAGUGGAGGACAUGAGGAGGGGAAUACAGACCCCCAACGUGGGUCCACUGUGCUCAGCCAUAAUGCCAGAGGUUCCCCAGCAGACAAGAACCUGCUGCAGGAUAAUGAGUAUGCCUUCAUCAACCUGCUGCAGGAGGUGGUGCAGAAUCAGGGCCGCUGGACCCGGGACCGGUGGAAACAGACACACCUGAACAAGCAGAGGAGUAAACAAUAGAAUCGUCCAUUAACUCCUUGCCAGGGACAACCUUUAGGUGAAGGAAGGUGUCUUUGAUAAAGUGGACUUUAAAAAAAAAAAAAAAAAAAACCACCAUGUAAAGCAGGGGAAAUAUAAAUGUUAGAAACUAGCAGAUACCUUUUACGUGGACAUGCAUGUUGAUUUGUAGCCAUCUUUAAAACUGUAGUAGGAAAAAGAGCUGAAUGUAUUUCACAGCAGAAAUUUUAAAAAUGAUUUUGUAUGUCAUGCAAGAUAGCCAUUAAUGAAGAAUAACGAAUAAAAAACAGCAAAUCGGGUUUGAAGCA